ensembl:lncRNA
CUUUUGCAUAAAAACACAUAGAAAUGAUGAUUUUGCUUUUACUUGUGGGAUGCAGUCCUGGAUGGCACCAAUAUCAUCUUUCCUACGUCACGCUGGAGUUAUGUUCAUGAGAUCAGGAGUCGCUCAGAGAGCUGGGAGCGGCUUCAUUUAGGGUCUGAGCUGCCAAAUUAAAACACCACGGCAUUAGCAUCGGCGUAAUGUCACAGCAACGCGGGAAUGGCUCUGACCAGACACCUGUAAAGGUGCAGUUCCCCAAAGCCCCUUUGCCGUCCAUGCCCGGCCUCGGGCUGACAACUCACAACUUUCCCACAACUUUCCCACUCUCCGGUGGGGUAUCUGGCUUCAACUGUCUCUCACUAGCCAGAUGCGGACGUGGUGGGGAUAUCCUACACCCAAACAAAAGGGAAACUUGGGAUGAAGGGAAAGACUGGGUUGGAGAUGCCCUCAGUCCAGUGAGAGGGUUUAACCCUGCUGCCUGCCUCAGUUUCCCACGCCAGCCUUCGCCCGUCGUUUCUGUUGGUAUUCGGCGCUCUUUCAGAUGUUGCAAGCCGCGCGGGGCCAGCUGACUUGGCGAUCCUUGAUGCCGCUGGGAUGAGUAUCUUAUUAUUGUGCCUUUGCCGGGAAUAGAAGAUUUUUAGUUUUAAUAUGGUCCUUGCUGUGUAGUAAUUGCAGUUUAACCCCCCCACCCCACCCCAAGCAACCCCAACCUGUCAUCCAGCCCUGUGGGAUCGCAGUGCUGCAGCUUCUUGACUCUGUCACUAGCCAGACGUGGGGCCUGGGUGUUACGGGAACUGAAUUAAUGCAUCAAAUGCAGAACUGCAGCCAGAUCAGAUGCAGAGAAACAUCCUCUUCCUCUGCAGCCAGGAUAAGAUGGGCUGUCCCAAAGGGACCAGCUCCAGACAUGCAGCCGACAGGCAGCCGAAGGGCUCUGCCGUGUCUCCCUGAAGCAGAUUUUGGUGCGGGCGGCGGGCCCAACACGUGCGUGUCCCCACGUCACCGCUGCAGCUCGAUGAAGGAGCAAAGUGCAGGGAGAUAAAACCUUGGCUCCCCUUGCUGCAGCACCCAGGGAGGGUGGUGGGGAACCAGCUGGCAUGGGCUGAACAGCUUGACAUAGCAUUUCCUCUCUGAAUUCGAUGCAGAGAAGUAGAAGACAGAUGGGAAAAAUCUAGCAGGGCAUACACUUAACAAAGCAUUUAAAUCCAGAUCAGUUCUUGGCUUCCAGACUGAAUCCUCUGGUGCCAGCCCCUCUCUCUGCUUAGAAACCCCUGUUCUCCUCUGAGCUCUGGUCUGACUUUCAUCCCCUUGUCCUUGCUCAGUGGGACACAGUGAGGCUGCAGCCAGGAGAAGCUCACGGGAAUCCUGGCAUAGACCAGCCCUGAAAAAGCUCAGCUCAGCUCAGCUUCCAGUGAACUGGGUGUAAUAGCACAUAGCAAACGGCAAAGCAAGCCAGAUCUGCAGAGCUGGGGAGGUUGCAGGUCUCCAAACAAGAGGCAAAGAGGGAGGACCACUCAGAAGAUUAAAUUUCAGUGUAUAUAAUCCUCUGUUUCAUAAACCAAUAGCACACGU